rnacentral:lncRNA from 1 species
ACCACAGGCAUGCACCACCAUGCCCAACUAAUUUUGUAUUUUUUGUAGAGAUGGUGGUGUGGUUUGGCCGUGUCCCCACCCAAAUCUCAUCUUGAAUUGUAGUUCCCAUGAUCCCUGUGUGUCAUGGGAGGGACCCAGUGGGAGGUAAUUGAAUCAUGGGGGCGGUUACCUCCAUGCUGCUGUUCUCAGGAUAGUCAAUGAGUUCUCACAAGAGCUGAUGCUUUUAUAAGGGGUUUCCCCCCCUUUUGCUCAGCACUUCUUCCUGCCCCCAUGUGAAGAAGGACUUGUUUGCUUCUCCUUCCACCAUGAUCGUAAGUUUCCUGAGGCCUGCCCAGCCCUGCGGAACUCAUGUCUGUGAGCGGCUGAAUAUUCCCCACAAACUUCAACCAAAACAACGUAUCACAACAGACUCAUGCAGAAGCAGAUAUGAGAAUCUACCUGUCUCCUAUCAAGCCAGACCAUAAAGAUAUUGACAAAAAUGAAAACUAAUGCCACCCUUAUUGUUAACUUUGUUGUUGUGGUUUCAGAACAUACUUAUUUUUCAUUUAAAAAUAAUGACUAAUGUUAACAUGUUAUGGCUUUGUCAUUCUUUUAAAAUAAAUAUUAUUUCUAAACAAAUAUUCUUUUUAAAUAAAAAUUUAUUUUCAAAUGUAUC